AUUGAACGCUGGCGGCAGGCUUAACACAUGCAAGUCGAGAGAGCGGCGGACGGGUGAGUAAUGUCUGGGAAACUGCCUGAUGGAGGGGGAUAACUACUGGAAACGGUAGCUAAUACCGCAUAACAUAAGAUGUGCCCAGAUGGGAUUAGCUAGUAGGUGGGGUAAUGGCUCACCUAGGCGACGAUCCCUAGCUGGUAUGAGAGGAUGACCGUCCACACUGGACCUGAGACACGGUCCAGACUCCUACGUGAGGCAGCAGUGGGGAAUAUUACACAAUGGGCGCAAGCCUGAUGCAGCCAUGCCGCGUGUGGGAAGAAGGCCUUCGGGUUGUAAAGCACUUUCAGCGAGGAGGCGUUACUCGCAGAUUCAGCACCGGCUAACUCCGUGCCAGCAGCCGCGGUAAUUC
rnacentral:rRNA from 1 species